rnacentral:lncRNA from 1 species
CAAAGCUGACUUCUGGCUUCUUUUCUUGAUCUCCUUUGUUGGGAUUGGCACUGGCAUUACUGUUCUGAAUAACCUGGCACAGAUAGGAAUAGCUCAAGACAUGAAUGAUACAAAGUUCCUGUUAGCUCUCUUCAGCUUCUGUAGUUUUAUCGGCCGCCUUGGUGGAGGUGUGGCUUCUGAAUAUUUCGUCAGGUCAGGGUAACUUGUCCAUUUAAGAUAGCAAACUUAAGAAAUAGGAAAUAAAUUGUUGGGAUGGCGAAAAUAAGAAAAUAUCAACAAGAAGCUAAGCCCCUGUAUGUCUCCCUUUUUUCGAAACUUUUUUUUUCUCAAACUCAUUUUUAACCACACAUUCAAUUUAAGAAUCUUCCUGGCGAAUGGCCUAUUCUCCCCGGUCGGAAUAGGUAGGAUAAUUCCUUCCUUAGAACCGUACUUGAGAGUUUCCCAGUAAGCAAACAGGGAACCCAUGGGUAUUUGAAUCCAAGUAUCCAGGAAAAGCCAAAGUAUUUGACCCAUUUGACACGUGCAAUUUCUCUUCAGUCAAUACGUCCUGCAAUUUGUAUUACUUAUUCAAUUGAAAGUCCUGAUCCAAUUCAAAAAUUAUGUUUCGAAAUUUCAUGAUCGAAACUCUUUUUUUUUCUCAAAACUUAUUUUCAACCAUACAUUCAUGCGAUAAAAUAUUUUGCACGUAAAUUUAAUUUUUUUCUACAUUUUGACCAUAUAUACUGCCAAAAAAUCACUAUUUAAAAAAUCAUUUUCCCCCAGGAACUGUUUAAAAAGGGGGACAAAUAGAGGCUAAGUCUUGUUCUAGUAAAUGUGGGUUCCACUCCAUGGAUCUUUUUCGCCACUCUAUUCAGUUCAUUGCUAGAGUUAUUGGGAGAUAUAAAGCUAUUAGAUCUUAAGCAACUAAAACUUGCCUUUUGUAUUAGAAUCCAUGUCAUAAGAUUUGAAAAUGUUUACAUGUCGACUUGCCACAACUUCCUCCUUUUACCCAUACUCGGGACCAGCUAUUUAAAACAUAGGCAGAUGAUGUUGACACCUACUAUUUUCAGAUUCACCUUAAAAGUACCUCUAAACAUUUGAUGAAUUAGUUGAGUACGCAUUAUAAAGAUUUACAUUGAACACACACAAAAGAUUUAGUAUGAGAAAUUGUCACGAGUUACCGAAAAGUUUCUUCCAUAUAUCCAAGAUAAUAUUCUUUUUUUUUUUUUUCCUAAACAACAGAAUAUUGUAUUUUUCCCCCUUUUCACCACAUUCAGCUUAUUCACUAGGUUUUCUUAUCCAACAGCUCUUGACCUUUUCCCAAAAUUAUCUUGACUUUGACGGGACGUUAAAGAUUUGGAAAGAUUUUUUGAUAUCAUCUGUGAUUUUUUUUGUGAUUUCUUACAUUAUUUCUGAUUGUGCAAUUAGUAUAAAAAUGUUACCUUUUAUAUUAAUUUGUAACUCUAUAUUAGGUUCCUUGUCAUUGCAAUUCCUAUGCACAAGAGUACUUCAGCCAAAUUUCCCUAUUGUUUUUGGCAUUUCUUGUUCCAAUAUUGAAUUUAUAGUUCUAAGAUGAAGAAUGCUAUCUCAUAAUAUAGUAUUUCAUUACGAUAUUUAUCUUGUAACAUGCUAUAAUUUGCCAUGUAAAUGUACUUGCAGAUCAAAAGCAAUCCCCAGGACAGUUUGGAUUGUAGUUGCACAAGUAACAAUGGUAGUGACAUACCUUCUCUUUGCUUCAGCUCUUGAUGGUACUCUUUAUGCUGCAACGUUGUUGCUUGGAAUCUGCUAUGGCAUUCACGGUUCUGUCAUUACCCCUGCAGUCUCUGAGCUUUUUGGCCUUAAACACUUUGGUAUUAUUUCGAAUCUCAUGG